rnacentral:ncRNA from 1 species
UUUCGGGUCUGUGGUUGCAAGUCGAUGCCAGUCGCAGGCAAAACGAUCCACGUAAGCGGGGAAAAGCCCCGUGAGCAUGGUGCGGCUUAGAGGUAAGCCCAGCCGGGGUAUAUGCCCCGAGAGGAGCAGUAGUGGGGGGCAUAUGCCUAGGAGCGAACCUUCCAGCUGGCGGGUGUGGGGUCAAAGACCAGGUCAGCCGAA